rnacentral:rRNA from 1 species
GACGAACGCUGGCGGCGUGGAUUAGGCAUGCAAGUCGAACGGUAUCAUCCUUUCGGGGGUGAGAGAGUGGCGAACUGGUGAGUAACACGUAGGUUAUCUACCCUCAAGACGGGGACAACCCAGGGAAACUUGGGCUAAUACCGGAUGUGAGCAACUUUUAGUUGUUUGAAAGGUGGCGUAAGCUGUCGCUUGGGGAUGAGCCUGCGUCCUAUUAGUUAGUUGGUGAGGUAACGGCUCACCUAGGCAAUGAUAGGUAGGCGGCCUUAACGGGUGGUCGCCCACACUGGGAUUGAGAUACGGCCCAGACUCCUACGGGAGGCAGCAGUCGAGAAUAGUCUACAAUGGUCGGAAGACUGAUAGUGCGACGCCGCGUGAACGAUGAAUCCCUUCGGGGUGUAAAGUUCUUUUCUAUACGAGCAGUGCUAUAUAUAUGGAUAGUAUAUAUAGAGGGAUAGUAGUAUAGGAAUAAGCAACGGCUAACUCCGUGCCAGCAGCCGCGGUAAAAUCACG